rnacentral:rRNA from 1 species
GGGCCCGCACAAGCGGUGGAGCAUGUGGUUUAAUUCGAAGCUACGCGAAGAACCUUACCAGGUCUUGACAUCUUCUGACAGUCUAAGAGAUUAGAGGUUCCCUUCGGGGACAGAAUGACAGGUGGUGCAUGGUUGUCGUCAGCUCGUGUCGUGAGAUGUUGGGUUAAGUCCCGCAACGAGCGCAACCCUUAUUACUAGUUGCCAGCAUUAAGUUGGGCACUCUAGUGAGACUGCCGGUGACAAACCGGAGGAAGGUGGGG